GGAGGGAUCAUUACCGAGUGAGGGGCCCUCGUGCCCUCGACCUCCCAACCCUUUGUUUAACCAACUUUGUUGCCUCGGGGGUGACCUGGCCGUCACACGCCGGGCGCCCCCAGAGGACCCAUCAAAUCCUGCGUCUUUGCGUCGGAGUAUUGAAUCAAAUCAAUUAAAACUUUCAACAACGGAUCUCUUGGUUCUGGCAUCGAUGAAGAACGCAGCGAAAUGCGAUAAGUAAUGUGAAUUGCAGAAUUCAGUGAAUCAUCGAAUCUUUGAACGCACAUUGCGCCCUUUGGCAUUCCGAAGGGCAUGCCCGUUCGAGCGUCAUUAAAACCCCUCAAGCCUGGCUUGGUGUUGGGCGCCGGGUUAGUUACCCGCGCCUCUAUUCAAUCGGCUGGACGGUCAGAAUCUCAGCGUUGUGCAAAUCAAUCCGCUCGAGAGGCUCGCCGGACGCGCCGUUAAAACCUCACUAAUGGUUGACCUCGGAUCGGGUAGGGAUA
rnacentral:rRNA from 1 species